rnacentral:tRNA from 1 species
GACAUUUCGGCCGAGUGGUUAAGGCGGCGGCCUGCUAAGCCGUUGGUCGAUACUGUGUUCGAGGCUACAAGUCUUAGUUU